CCUACGGGAGGCAGCAGUGGGGAAUUUUGGACAAUGGGCGAAAGCCUGAUCCAGCGACGCCGCGUGAGGGACGAAGCCCUUCGGGGUGUAAACCUCUGUUGUGAGGGACGAAUAAGAUCUGGAGGAAAUGCCAGAUCGAUGACGGUACCUCACGAGAAAGCCCCGGCUAACUACGUGCCAGCAGCCGCGGUAAUACGUAGGGGGCGAGCGUUACCCGGAUUCACUGGGCGUAAAGGGGGCGCAGGCGAUCCAGUAUGUCGGGUGUGAAAUCCCACAGCUCAACUGUGGAAUUGCGCCCGAAACUACUGGGUUUGGGGCUGGUAGAGGGAGACGGAACUGCCGGUGUAGGGGUGAAAUCCGUAGAUAUCGGCAGGAACGCCGGUGGGGAAGCCCGGUCUCCUGGGCCGCGCCCGACGCUGAGACCCGAAAGCUAGGGGAGCAAACC
rnacentral:rRNA from 1 species